AACGAACGCUGGCGGCGUGGAUAAGACAUGCAAGUCGAACGGAUUUAGUCUUGUAGCAAUACAAGGCUGAGUCAGUGGCGCAAGGGUGCGUAACACGUGGGCAACCUGCCCUGGAGACUGGGAUAGCCCGCCGAAAGGCGGAUUAAUACCGGAUGCGGCUACCGAAGGAUUCUUCGGGACGCUAAAGGUGGCGCAAGCUACCGCUCCUGGAUGGGCCCGCGGCCUAUCAGCAGUUGGUGAGGUUACGGCUCACCAAGGCGAUGACGGGUAGCUGGUCUGAGAGGACGACCAGCCACACUGGAACUGAGACACGGUCCAGACACCUACGGGUGGCAGCAGUCGAGAAUUUUUCUCAAUGGGGAAACCCUGAAGGAGCGACGCCGCGUGGAGGAUGAAGGUCUUCGGAUUGUAAACUCCUGUCAUUGGUGAACAAGACAUUGCCGUUUAACUGCGGGUGGUGUUUGAUAGUAGCCGAAGAGGAAGGGACGGCUAACUCUGUGCCAGCC
rnacentral:rRNA from 1 species